AUGUGUUCUCACUUAUCAAUCCUGGAAUUUCUUCUUCUGCUGUAUGACUGGUCUGCUCUCCUUACCUUCAACUUGACUACCUUUUCUUUGUUUUGCCUUCAUGUGCCCUGUACUCCAUUCCAAGGGGAGGAAGAAAGAGGAGCUAAAGAAUUCUUUACUACUCAAUACCACAGCUCCAGAUAUUCCAUUUGGCUUCAUAUGGAUCAAACAACCAGGACACAGGUAGGUGUUGACUCUGAGGCUGAAGCAAACCAGGAAUUUGAACCAAUUUGCCAUAAUUUGUUUUAGCUUUUAAUUAUCCUUUAAUUGUUUUUUAAAAAUAUCUUUCUGUAGUACAUGAUAAUUCAGAAGCAAUUUUCUUGUCAGCAUGUUUUUCUUCUUAUUUUUUCAAAUACUUGAGUGAUGAUAAGGGGAACUUGGGUAUAUGCCAUGGAAAGUUUUUGUUCUAGAAUAAGUAGUGAAGCUAGCAUUUUGAGUUUUUAAUUAGUAUAGUUGUUUUCUUUUGGAAAUUGAAGAAUUAAAUUUGGGCCCACACUGAUCAUAAAAUUAUGGUCAGACACUAUUGAUGAAACUCUAACUUCAACCAUUUGAUGAAAAGCAACUUGCCAAAUGAAGACCACAUUUUGUAAGGGGCAAAUCUUCCUUAAUUUUUUGCUAGAGAAUUAAAUUAUUAUUAUAUAUUCUCACAUACUCAGUGCUGUUGACAGUGACAUUAUAGGCACAGUAUCUGAAUACAAUCCCUGCUCUAACCACCUUAAUAAUUUAAUAAUUAAAUAAUUUAAUAAUUUAAAUAAUUCAAAUAUUUGUCUUCUUUAUACACUUAAAACAUUCAACUAUGGUAAAAAAAAAAAUCUAUUACCUGAAAAUCCAUUCCAGAAAAGCCUAGACUGUAGAUAAAGUGGGAUUUUUUUUUACAUGAGACUGAAUCUAUCUCAAUAAUUAUUAUUAUAUAAUUAGAUAACAUUUUAAAAUGUCCUCGCUAGCUCUCAUUGUGGGACAGUAGAGAACUGAAGGGAAUUUUCUGUAUUACUUUAGCAGUUCAAGGUCCAAUAAAUCUUAUAGACAUAUUUUCA
rnacentral:lncRNA from 12 species